rnacentral:rRNA from 1 species
GGCGGUGGUUUAACUAAUCAGAGGAAUUUGCCCUAUAAUCGAUAGUCCCCGUUAUAUGUUGCUUAGAGUAGUAGUCAGCUUGUAUACCGCCGUCAUCAGGAAAUUUUUGGAAAUCAUUUUCAUGAACUUAUAUAAAAAUAUGUCAGGUCAAGGUGCAGCUUAUAUCUAAGAAGAGGUGAAUUACAAUAAAAUUAUUUAAUACGGAAGGUUUAAUGAAAGUUAAGCAGGAAGGUGGAUU